UUGAAAGGGAAACGAUUGAAGUCAGUCGUGCUGGCGCGAAAUCAACCUUCUCGUCUUGAGAUCACAUGGCGUGGCGAGCCUCAAAACCGUCACGAAGCGUGAACUCUUGGUGAAAUGGAGCACUUUCAUGUCCGCUGGUUAACAUCAAUUUCGAUCGUCAUAAAAAGGCUGGAGGGAUGUGGCUCCUUCGGGAGUGUUAUAACCUUUAGCGGAAUGUGGUGAUCGGGAUUGAGGAUUGCAACGAAUACCUUUAGGGCUGUUCCACCUGGCUUCUCUUUGGUAUCCUGGUGACGACAGCUUGCUGACGUCGUUAGGAUUCGCCUCUGAACAGGUUAGAGUGUGAGCAAAUUCGUUAAGGAUGUUGACGUA
rnacentral:rRNA from 1 species